AAUUUCACACCUGGAUGUGCUCACUCAACCAAGAAUAUAGAGAAAGAGCUUCUGCCCUGAGACUCAGAAAAAUAUUCUCCUCUGCUUCGGUUCAGUAUAGAUUUCUAGACCCUGAUCAUUGCUUAAGAGAUAUUCACUGGGG
ensembl:misc_RNA